AGAACGAACGCUGGCGGCAUGCCUAAUACAUGCAAGUCGAACGAAUGCCCUUUGGGGUGUUAGUGGCGCACGGGUGCGUAACGCGUGGGAAUCUGCCCUUGGGUUCGGAAUAACAGUUGGAAACGACUGCUAAUACCGGAUGAUGACGUAAGUCCAAAGUAUUUAUCGCCCAGGGAUGAGCCCGCGUAGGAUUAGCUUAGUUGGUAGGGGUAAACACCUACCAAGGCGACGACGUCCUUAGCUGGUCUGAGAGAUGAUCAGCCACGACGUGGACUGGACGACACCGGCC
rnacentral:rRNA from 1 species